GACGAACGCUGGCGGCGUGCUUAACACAUGCAAGUCGAACGGAAAGGCCCUGCUUUUGUGGGGUGCUCGAGUGGCGAACGGGUGAGUAACACGUGAGUAACCUGCCCUUGACUUUGGGAUAACUUCAGGAAACUGGGGCUAAUACCGGAUAGGAGCUCCUGCUGCAUGGUGGGGGUUGGAAAGUUUCGGCGGGUGGGGAAGGACUCGCGGCUUAUCAGUUUGUUGGUGGGGUAGUGGCUUACCAAGGCUUUGACGGGUAGCCGGCCUGAGAGGGUGACCGGCCACAUUGGGACUGAGAUACGGACGAGACUCCUACGGGAGGCAGCAGUGGGGAAUAUAGCACAAUGGGCGGAAGCCUGAUGCAGCAACGCAGCGUGCGGGAUGACGGCCUUCGGGUUGUAAACCGCUUUCGCCUGUGACGAAGCGAGAGUGACGGUAAUGGGUAAAGAAGCACCGGCUAACUACGUG
rnacentral:rRNA from 1 species